GGACUACCGGGGUAUCUAAUCCCGUUUGCUCCCCUGGCUUUCGCGCCUCAGCGUCAGAAGAGGUCCAGCGCGUCGCUUUCGCCACCGGCGUUCCUUCCGAUAUCUACGCAUUUCACCGCUCCACCGGAAGUUCCACACGCCCCUACCUCCCUCGAGACACCCAGUAUCAGAGGCACUUUUCCGGUUAAGCCGAAAGAUUUCACCCCUGACUUGAGUGCCCGCCUACGCGCCCUUUAAGCCCAGUGAAUCCGAACAACGUUCGCACGGUUCGUCUUACCGCGGCUGCUGGCAC
rnacentral:rRNA from 1 species